rnacentral:rRNA from 1 species
CAGGAACGCGAAGAACCUUACCAGGUCUUGACAUCUUUUGAUCACCUGAGAGAUCAGGCUUCCCCUUCGGGGGCAAAAUGACAGGUGGUGCAUGGUUGUCGUCAACUCGUGUCGUGAGAUGUUGGGUUAAGUCCCGCAACGAGCGCAACCCUUAUGACUAGUUGCCAGCAUUUAGUUGGGCACUCUAGUAAGACUGCCGGUGACAAACCGGAGGAAGGUGGGGAUGACGUCAAAUCAUCAUGCCCCUUAUGACCUGGGCUACACACGUGCUACAAUGGAUGGUACAACGAGUUGCGAGACCGCGAGGUCAAGCUAAUCUCUUAAAACCCUUUCUCGUUUCGGACUGUAGGCUGCAACUCCCCCUACACAAAAUUCGGGAAUCCCUUAGUAAUCCCCCGGGGUCCACCCAAUACGGGGGGGUGAAAACCC